ACGGAAGGCAGCAGUGGGGAAUAUUGGGCAAUGGGCGAAAGCCUGACCCAGCAACGCCGCGUGAAGGAAGAAGGUCUUCGGAUUGUAAACUUCUUUUAUCAGGGACGAAGAAAGUGACGGUACCUGAUGAAUAAGCCACGGCUAACUACGUGCCAGCAGCCGCGGUAAUACGUAGGUGGCGAGCGUUAUCCGGAUUUACUGGGUGUAAAGGGCGCGUAGGCGGGGAUGCAAGUCAGAUGUGAAAUCUAUGGGCUUAACCCAUAAACUGCAUUUGAAACUGUGUCUCUUGAGUGUCGGAGAGGUAGAUGGAAUUCCUAGUGUAGCGGUGAAGUGCGUAGAUAUUAGGAGGAACACCAGUGGCGAAGGCGAUCUACUGGACGAUAACUGACGCUGAGGCGCGAAAGCGUGGGGAGCAAACAGGAUUAGAUACCCUGGCA
rnacentral:rRNA from 1 species